rnacentral:rRNA from 1 species
AUACCCCAUAGGCUAUGGAAGCUGGAAUGCUCUGUAGUUGAAAGGUCAGCCGCCUUAGGAUGGGUCUGCGGCCGAUUAGGUUGUUGUUGGGGUAACGGCCCAACAAGCCUGUAAUCGGUACGGGUUGUGGGAGCAAGAGCCCGGAGAUGGAUUCUGAGACACGAAUCCAGGCCCUACGGGGCGCAGCAGGCGCGAAAACUUUACAAUGCGGGAAACCGUGAUAAGGGAACUCCGAGUGCCCGUUAAAUCGGGCUGUCCACCAGUUUAAAAAACUGGUGAAGAAAGGGCCGGGCAAGACCGGUGCCAGCCGCCGCGGUAAUACCGGCGGCUCGAGUGGUGGCCACUAUUACUGGGCUUAAAGCGUUCGUAGCUGGUUUGUUAAGUCUCUGGGGAAAUCUUCCGGCUUAACCGGAAGGCGUCUCAGGGAUACUGGCAGACUAGGGACCGGAAGAGGUGAGGGGUACUCCAGGGGUAGGAGUGAAAUCCUGUAAUCCUUGGGGGACCACCUGUGGCGAAGGCGCCUCACCAGGACGGCUCCGACAGUGAGGGACGAAAGCUGGGGGAGCAAACCGGAUUAGAUACCCGGGUAGUCCCAGCCGUAAACGAUGUGCGUUAGGUGUAUCGGUGACCACGAGUCACCGAGGUGCCGAAGAGAAAUCGUGAAACGUACCGCCUGGGAAGUACGGUCGCAAGGCUGAAACUUAAAGGAAUUGGCGGGGG